UCUGUUUUUUGCAAUAUAAGCUCAAUAAACUGAAAAGGACCUCAAUUCACAACUUCGUACUAAAGAGGCUUUGUGUCGCAAUAGUAAAACUGUCGGGUUCGCCGGGAACUUUACCACGUUUGCCGUUUUGUUCGCAAGUAACCUGGACGCCAUGAGGGGAUUGGGAUCUUCAUGAGUGCGUGAUUGCAGAAAUUUAGAUAAAAUAGAACAGUUGUGUUUGGGGAAGAGAUCCAAGUCUUUUGUGUCAGGUGUUAUAGUUACCCAGUGAGUUGGAGUCGAGUCAUAAUAACUUGAAACAAGGUUUUCAUCGUCACCGAGGAAUGCUGCUGGAAAUCAUCACUCAUCGGAUAAGGUGACUCCCCAACGAGAUGGCCUACGUUUCAGAACUUGGCAGACGGAAAUGCGGGUAGUGAUUCUGAGAAAGCUGUGCCAAGAGUUUCAGAUAAGUCAACAGACUAUACCGCACCAUCUUCAGAAUCACUUUCAAUAAGCAAUGUAAGUGAUUUCGAAGACAACCAUAUAUAUGGAAAAGAAAAAGGCUGUAAAUCAAUUAAAAAAAAAGCUUCUAAACAAACGCGAACCAGAAAAGAAACGACGAAAAGAAAAAUAAUUGCACGGCUUUGUAUAUCUUGCGAGAAGUUUAUUGUAAAGCUUCAAGACAUCUCUGUAUAAUUCAUAAAGAUGAACCGGCAGUGAGCAUAAUUUUGUCUCUCCUCAACAACCUAAUCUAGUGGGCAUAUCUACAUUCGUAUACAUACUUAGCAUACAUUUUUACUAUUUAAUUAUAAAUUCAAAAUAUGUUUUUGUAUUCCGAGUUGGUGCAAAAAUUUUAAAUAAAUUCUGCAAAGAUUCUAAAUUGAUAUUGAGGUUCAAUAAUUUCAUUUUGAUCGUCUGUAUAGUUGACUGUAUAAUCACUGCUAUACUUAGGCGCCCUGAUAGAUAGACAUUUGAGUUAUAAUUGGUGUAAUAUUUCUCAUUUUAGUUGACAUGGCAAAAUUUCGUUUCGCAUUUAUAGCCCCCACUGAAAACGUCACUUUAUUGAACAUUUGAGAUAUGUUGUGUGUAAUGUUUCUCGGUAUUUUUUUCAGAAUUUCGUGUUUUAAUUACAUACCUUCUGAAAUGGUCGGAUGGUUGAAAUUGUUGAAAGUUUUUUUGAAUGCUUCUCAAUAUUAUUGCCAUUCCAAAAUAUCAUUUUGCAUUUACAUGACACACUUACGUAGAUGAGUAGAUGACGAUUUGCGAUUUAUUUUCUGUUUUGUUUUUCAAUAUGGUUUCAAAAUUUUGUUUUAUAAUAUUUGUCACUCUCAAGUUAUCGGAUAGGUGAACAUUAGAGAUAAAUUUUGAGCAAUUUUCC